CACGUCUGGGCUGGCGUGCUGCACGAUUGUUGCCGUUGCCAGAGGUUGUUAGUUUACUGCGGAGUGAGCCAACUUUGUUUUGGCCGUGGAUAUUCCCCGUGUGGAUAGAUGAAUACCUGGACUACUGGCGUUGGGUGCCACGUUGGGUGCUGUGUGGUUGCGCGGAUUGCUUGCCCCCCUGCCGGGGUCUGAGGGUGGCGUGUCCCGAAAAGCGCAGGACCGAGCUACAGCCGUGUGCAUGCUGCUGUCGAGGCUGCUGGGUGCCACAGUUAUCUAAGAGGUUAACACUCCCUGGCGCGUUUCUCCUCCCACUCUUGCUGUUCUGGAUAUUGGUAUAAAAUUGUGUAUUGAUACAGUGUCUGGAUAUAUGACUGCCCUGGAUGCACAGAACUGGUUUGGAGUGAUACGUUCUAAGUGUUUGAAUAUCCAGACAUUGGUUCUGUAAAUAUUGGUAUUAACUGGAUGUACAUUGCAUGUGGGUUUGUUUGUGUUUGGUUUUUUUGUUUGAUUUUGAUCCUUUAAUUACGCAUGCGGGUUUGUUUUUGAAUGGUGUUUGUUUUGUUUUUUUCUCUAAUACGCACUACAUAUCUUUUUAAUAGGUAAACUGUAGUCCCUGCACUUCUCCCAUUGUGUUGGUGCGGAAAAAGGAUGGAAGUCUGCGCCUGUGUGUGGAUUAUCGCUUGUUGAACAGCAAGACUCGGAAGGAUGCAUUUCCUUUGCCGCGAAUAGAGGAAAGCCUUGAUGCGCUGUCGGGGCCCGCUGGUUUUCAACUCUUGAUCUUGCCAGUGGUUACAGCCAGGUCCCUGUUACAGAGCAAGAUAGGCCCAAAACAGCCUUUUGUACCCCUUUUGGCCUUUUUGAGUUUAAUCGCAUGCCGUUCGGCCUGUGCAAUGCGCUGGGCACCUUCCAGCGACUGAUGCAGAGGAUGUUUGGUGACCAGCAGGAUCAGUCUCUCUUGCUUUAUCUUGAUGACGUCAUCGUGUUUUCAUCCUCUGUAGAUCAACAUCUGCAGUGUCUUGAGAUGGUGCUUAAGCACCUCCAGACUGAAGGCUUGAAGGCUAGGCUGGAGAAAUGUUCCUUUUUCCAGCAAGAAGUAAAGUACUUAGGCCAUGUCAUCUCAGCCCAGGGGGUGUCUACUGACCCCAAGAAGUGUGAGGCUGUGUCUAAGUGGAAGCGGCCACAGAAUGUGUCAGAGCUGCGCUCCUUUUUGGGGUUUGCCAGCUAUUAUCGUCGAUUUGUUGAGGGGUUUGCCCAGCUGGCGGGCCCACUGCAUUGUUUGGUGGCUGAGAUGUCAGGUAAAAAGUCCAAGAAGGGCCUUAAUAAGGCUCUGGAGGCUGUGUGGACCCCACAAUGUGAGCAGAGUUUGGAGGGACUGAGACCGGCUUGUUUCCGCUCCUGUGUUUGCUUUUGCGGGCUUCAAGCGUCCCUUCAUUUUGGAGGUAGACGCUAGUUACAGUGGCCUGGGAGCUGUCCUCUCCCAGGAGACUGACAGUGGAGUGAGACCAGUGGCUUAUGCCAGCAGAGGACUUCGGCCGACAGAAUGCAAUACGUGACUUACAGCUCCAUGAAGUUGGAGUUCUUAGCCCUUAAGUGGGCUAUGAUGGAGAAGUUUCGAGACUAUCUGUUGGGUCACAAGUGCAUGGUGUACACCGAUAAUAAUCCAUUUUAGUCAUCUCCAGUCUGCUAAACUGGGGGCUACGGAACAAAGGUGGGCAGCUCAGGUUGCUGCUUUUGAUUUUGAGAUCAAGUACAGAUCCAGUUGUAGUAACCGGAAUGCUGAUGCUCUUUCCAGGCAGUAUGCGUCAGGUUUAGGGUCUGUUGUACCGUUGUUGCCAAGAGGCCAAGUUUCUCUUGAUCCGCAGUAUGGCCAACCGUCAGAGCAGCCUGUAGUAGCUACAUUGGCCCUGGUCUCUGCAUUGCCAGCUUAUUCAGUUUCUGACUUUCAGGUGCUACAACAGGAUCAUCCCCUGUUGAAGGAGAUUUUGGUGUUCUGGCGACAGAAAUCCCAACCUACCACAGUUGAACGGCGGCAUCUUUCUAAACCAGCUUUGAUGAUACGCCAGUGGGGGCGCCUGGUGGAGCGGGAUGGGGUUUUGUUCCGCCGGGUCCUCCGCCCAGACGGUGGGGAGGAAGUUCUCCAAUUUUUGCUGCCUGCAGCUCUCAAGCAGGAGACUCAGCGUCUGCUUCAUCAGCAACAUGGCCAUCAAGGUAUCAAAAGGACCACAGCGUUGGUCCAGCAGCGUUGUUAUUGGCCUGGGAUGUCUGCAGACAUCCGGAAUUGGGUGCAAGAGUGAACAGUGUCAGGUCGCUGUGCCUACACGUGAUCAGAGGGCCUGUGCAGUAGCCCAGGUUCUUGUGGCUGAGUGGUUCUAUAAGUUUGGCAUGCCAAGCCAUCUGCAUUAUGAUCAAGGGAGGAGCUUUGAAAGCACUUUGAUCCAACAACUUUGCUUGAUGUAUAGUGUAACUAAAUCUCGCACUACCCCUUACCAUCCGGCUGGAAAUGGACAAUGUGAGCGUUUCAAUCGUACGCUGCAUAAUCUCCUUUGAACACUGCCCCUGCCACAGAAGCGGGAUUGGCCUUCCUGUCUACCUUAUGUCCUUUUCUGCUAUAACACCACACCCCAUCAGGGUACGGGGAGUCCCCAUAUUAUUUGAUGUCUGGUCAGGAACCAAGGCUCCCGAUUGAUUUCCUCUUGGGGCGUGUGGAAGAACCAAGGCCAGGGGAUGUGCAAGGUUGGGUGGCAGAGCAUCAGGAGAGGUUAAGGGUGGCCUUCGAUUGUGCUCGUGAGCGGCUGCUAGCAACUGCAAGUCGUCGGAAGGAGUGGCAUGACCAACAGGUACGAGAUGUACCACUGAGUGUGGGACAGUUGGUGUAUGUGAGGGAUCAUGGUGCUAGGGGCUGCCAUAAACUGCAAGACCUAUGGAGCUCGGAGAUCCAUCAAGUGGUGACCACUUUAUCAGGAGGAGCAGUUUAUGCUGUGGCACCUGUGAAUGCACUGCAUAAAGUAAGGAAUGUACAUCGCGACAUGUUGAAGGCUGUGGUACAGCCAGUUGAGUCUGAUCCCCCUCCAACUGAAAUACCAUUAACCUUGGGUAUGGCUCAAUUCGAUGAGUCAUCAAACAGUGACCUGUGGCUAUGGAUGUCCGACGCUACAUCAGGUGCCCCAGCUCCUGGUCCUUUGGAAUCUCCUGCAGCAACUAGGCCAGAUCGGGGCCCACAGUUUCCAUCUUUUCAGCUGCAGUCGCAGUCGUUAUAGCCCACUCGUUUCUGCCACAAUAGGUACACUUCAACUGUGAGACGGAAUCAAACAAAUCCAGAAAAUCAUAUUGUAUGAUUUUUAAAUAAUUUGCAAUUUCAGCAGUGUAUCAAAUACUUGUUCUCCCCAUUGUAUACACAAGCGCAUGCACACAUAUAUAUUUGUCCUGCUUUCAAAACACCAUUCUGGCUGUAUUGUAUGUCAACUCAGUACAGGCUCUCAAAGCAGGAGGAACUGGAGCUCAAAGCAAUCCAGACGUCUCCAGUGUAUCACGGUAUGUUCACAUCUGUUGCACUCAUUAAAACGCCACUUCACUUCCUCUCUGUGAUCCAGGUCAGUCACUGGAAUACAUGUGGGUCAGAAAACAAAUUCCCUUUGUCUAACCACGUACUCUUGAGCUGAUUCCUUUUCUGUACCCCACAGGGUGGGUGUAUGUAUGUAUCUACUUUUAUGCAAUAUAAAUACUCAGUACCUCUGUACAUUAUCUUUUUCACAACUAGACACCCUUGACCAAUAUGUUUGUUUAUUGAACAGAAAGUAAUUUUUGUUAUAACAUUAACAGAUUUGUUUUUCUUUGAUAUCAAAAUAGUUUAUAACUAAGUAACAUUAUGAUGGACUGGUGAUCAGAGUGUGUUCCCUGCCUUCCAUUACAUAAUGGGAAUUACACCAGCCUAUGCUGCCCAUUGCUAAUAAUAAGCAGGUCAAGUACUGUACAUUGUAUGCAAGUAUGUAACUAAAUGCAAUACUAAUUCAGCUUCCCUACCAGGCUAAAGUUCACCAUUUAUUUGGCUAUAAACUGAAGAGUUUUAAAGCUUUGUCUUUCUGCCAUGAGCAGACUUAGCAAUGUUAAACAAACCAGUUCUUGAAUCAGUGCUGUUUAAGUGGGUCUACAAAAUGAAUUGUCUAAUUUUUAUUUCAGGCCAUCGCUGUAGCUGCUUAUCCAGAGUGACUUGCAAUGAACGAAGCAGCAGGGGUGACACAAAUGUUAUAGGAUGGUCUGUGUGACUACUUUGCAAACUUUCAUUAUCAUUGUAGGUUAUGAUGUGCAAAGGUCAUGACCUACUGGCUAACAAAUAAAAUCAACAAAUUGAACCAUCUACCAACUUAUUUCCUGUCAGCUCUCUGCCGAUAGGUUUCACUGUGCAGAGUAGCUACAUCCAGUAUUUGGUUGUGUUAUUGCCAUUACAGCAGACCUUCCCCUCACCCCAUAGUUCAUAUAGACCCUCACUUCCUCUCACCAGGUAAAAGGAAAUGGCUUUUCCACAUGUGUUCUACAUGAACUCACAUAUUAAGUGAGUCAAGUCUUGCUUUCUGAAAAUAAUAAGCUAGUUGGCUCCACAAUUAAACCUUUUUUCCCCACUGGCUGUAGUCCACAAGGCUGCAAACACUACAGUAUGUCCACUGGAGGUGAACAACAUCAUGCCUAUUCAUAUUUACAUAAUGGAUGAUAAAAACAUUCUGAAAAUCAGACUCAAAUCAAAAUACGUUACGCUUUUUAGAUGGUUGGUUAAACCGAAUUACAAAACUGCAUAUUUUCUUACCAUUAGUGUUAUCAAGCAGAUAGUUCUAGUUUAAUUUGCACAGAUUGAGUUAUUUACUUCUGAGACUUCUGCCAUUAUUCUAAUACAAUAGAAAUUAUAUAUAUUUCAUUUAUGGAGUGCACAGCGUUUGUUUUAAAACAUUCACAAGCAAUGUGUCUUUCCAGAAACAGUGUCCCUGUUUCAGAACAUGCCAUCAAUCGUUUUGUAUUUUUGUUUUCUAGUUCCAAAGAAAACGGUUGACAGUGAGAUCAAAAAUUAACAGUAUUAAACCGUAACAAUGCCCCACUUAUCCAGAGUAAGUGGGGCACUGUUACUGUUUAAUUUUUCACCUCUGUUGUAUUUAGAUAAGGAUGGAAAUCUCAAAACCUGUACAAAUAAAACCAAAGCUACCUGCAAGGCUUGAUACCACUAGAGGUAAAUGAAAAUGCUAUGUUUUGUUUGAUUUAGAAAUUUGGAUGAACUGACCCUAUAAAACAAUGUCCAAGUUCCAUCGCAAUGUACAAGAUGCCACAACUCUGUAUAUACAUUAACAAUUUCCCUGGAAUGUUGAUUCUGUAGAUUUGUUAUCCAUUUGUUGUUUAUCUAUUUAUUAAUACCAAACUGGCUUUACAUGAUGAA